UUUGACCUGAAAUGUUCGAAGUACACUAUAAUUUUGAACCUACAUUUGACAUAAGGGAGUCUGGAGUUUGAAAAUAUAUGUCAGGCCCUAAGCAAAUACCGACUUAUGCUAAAAGCAUAAGUACGGCAAGGGAAGACAGAAAUUUUUAACAGGACACCCACCUAGUUGCGGCUAGGUGUCAGAAUAUAGGGAAACGGCAUUUUGGGUUACAU
rnacentral:other from 1 species